UGUGCAAACUAUAAAUAAUAUUCUUUACUACAAUAUACAUAUACUUAUAAUUUUUAUAUUUUAUUUGUUACAAAAGCAAUGUUUUGUAAUUACAUCGUAUCAAAAGUACCUACAUUAAUCAAAUUUUUAUUCGUGAAUGCCUUAUAUCAUCGAAAACUUAAUACAAGAUAUCUUUUAAUGAGAAUGUAAGUGUACAUAACUUAGGUGAUAAAUGACAAAUGUUGGUAAAAGAAGAUGCGAAAGCAAUUAAUUUUGCUUCAAUAAGAAUUCAAAAUAUGGGAGGAAAUGUUCAUUAUGUGGCUGGUUAAAAUUUUCAAGAAUUAAUUAAAAGUUUUAAUAUUAAGAGAUUUGUAUGGUUCCAAUCAGUUCAUUAUACCAGAACACGAGGGCUACGAAAUAAAAAUAGGUAUUUUUUAUCUUAGAGAAAAGACUUACAAGAGAUGGCUAAGAAAUUGAUUCGAAAGUAAAUUGAGCAUAGAAAGUAAAGCAUUAAAAAGACCAGAGAAUCAAGGGAAUGAAUGCAUGGGAGAUAUGAAAUAGAAGAAAAAUCCUUAAAAAUUCCAAACAUAACAAAUUCAUCUACCAAAGAUACUUAACAAAUUACUUUUAAUAACAAAUAUUGAAGGAAAUGUACAACAAGAAUUAAAUUUAAAAUAAGGAGAUGUUCUGUUUUUAACUUGUGGAGAAAAGAUUCGCAUGGUUAAAGGAUUACAUUAUGAUUUGGUUAUGAAUGGUUUUGAGACUACAGGAGAAUCAAUGUGAAUUCACAAAUCAAAAUUACAAAUAGAAAUAUUUUAAAUGCUAAAUAUAAAUGAAUUA